AAAAAGACCCGCAUGUUCAUUCAUGUAAAAGAACUGAAUUACAACAUUUCAGAAGAAAUUGUCUAUUUGAACUGGAUCCAAAAAUGUGCUGUUUUUAUGAUCACUGCACCUUAUCCCGGGCGGUGGAUCUGGUUCGAUGUUCGUGUUUGGAACUCUUCUAUCGAAUACCGUCGUUACUCUGACUGUAUUCGAAAAUUCAAAAAACUGCCACAGAAGGGACGCAGAGUCUACAAUGAUUACUGCCAGAAUAUAGUCCAUGAAGGU